GUGUUACCACAAAGCAAAAUUCACCUGAAUUUAACUAAAAUAAAAAUCGCCUGGCAAUAGUUUGUGACACACUGGGUUAGUCCAGUAGCUGUAUCACUCCCUCCCUCUGUUUCCUCAGCAGGAGUGAGUUACAGAGUGACUCGGCCCACCGAUAAGGACGCUGCAGUGUGACUCGCCAUACGGCCACAGACAUGAUAAACCAUAAAAGGGUAAAACGGGAUGAGGAUUUAUGCUGUGACCCAAUAUUUGGUGACUGAGCCGUCCGGAGUGUUUCACUUACUUCGAUCAUAUCGAUGAGGUUGUAGAAGUACUGCUGGUUGUCGAUGGUCAGCUUGUUGUCUUGGUAAAUCACUCGGUAAUGGAAGACCUCUUUCGAGAAGCUGACACACAGGACGUAGUCGCCUGGGUGGCGUAUGCUCUCUCGCACCAGGAAGAGGCCAUCCUGAGGCGGCUGCAGCUUUCCCACCGCAGCCGGUCCGGAGAUCUUCCCGUGAAACCAGCUGAGGACAGACAUGAGAGGGCUGAAACUAAUGACUGUGAUCGAUUAUUUUAGCGAUCAAUUUGCUGAUUAAUUGGAUUAAAAAGAAAUUGGCACAUUUUGCAGUACUUUUUUUAAACGUUAUUUGAAAUACACUAAUAAUGCCAAUGAGCAAACAAUUCAAUAAUUUUUUUGAUUAAGAAAACAACACUUUGUCAAAAAUCCAAUAGCAAUAAAAAAUAAAAAUACUUUCA